rnacentral:sRNA from 1 species
UUUUUUCUUCUUCUUC